CAGCAGCCGCGGGAACACGUAGGGUGCAAGCGUUAAUCGGAAUUACUGGGCGUAAAGCGUGCGUAGGUGGUGGUUUAAGUCCGUUGUGAAAGCCCUGGGCUCAACCUGGGAAUUGCAGUGGAUACUGGGUCACUAGAGUGUGGUAGAGGAUAGUGGAAUUUCCGGUGUAGCAGUGAAAUGCGUAGAGAUCGGAAGGAACAUCUGUGGCGAAGGCGACUAUCUGGGCCAACACUGACACUGAGGCACGAAAGCGUGGGGAGCGAACAGGAUUAGAUACCCCAGUAGUCCCUGUCUCUUAUAC
rnacentral:rRNA from 1 species